AGACCCGAAACCCGGUGAUCUAGCCAUGGGCAGGUUGAAGGUUGGGUAACACUAACUGGAGGACCGAACCGACUAAUGUUGAAAAAUUAGCGGAUGACCUGUGGCUGGGGGUGAAAGGCCAAUCAAACCGGGAGAUAGCUGGUUCUCCCCGAAAGCUAUUUAGGUAGCGCCUCGUGAAUUCAUCUCCGGGGGUAGAGCACUGUUUCGGCUAGGGGGCCAUCCCGGCUUACCAACCCGAUGCAAACUGCGAAUACCGGAGAAUGUUAUCACGGGAGACACACGGCGGGUGCUAACGUCCGUCGUGAAGAGGGAAACAACCCAGACCGCCAGCUAAGGUCCCAAAGUCAUGGUUAAGUGGGAAACGAUGUGGGAAGGCCCAGACAGCCAGGAUGUUGGCUUAGAAGCAGCCAUCAUUUAAAGAAAGCGUAAUAGCUCACUGGUCGAGUCGGCCUGCGCGGAAGAUGUAACGGGGCUAAACCAUGCACCGAAGCUGCGGCAGCGACACUAUGUGUUGUUGGGUAGGGGAGCGUUCUGUAAGCCUGUGAAGGUGGCCUGUGAGGGUUGC
rnacentral:rRNA from 1 species